rnacentral:tRNA from 1 species
GCCUGGGUGGCUCAGUUGGUUGAGCAUCUGACUCUUGAUUUCUGCUCAGGUAGUUAGUGAUCCUGGGGUUGUGGGAUCAAGCCCCACAUCAGGCU